ACGCAAUAGAUACCCGGGUAGUCCAUGCCGUAAACGUUGGGCACUAGGUGUGGGGGACAUUCCACGUUUUCCGCGCCGUAGCUAAACGCAUUAAGUGCCCCGCCUGGGGAGUACGGCCGCAAGGCUAAAACUCAAAGGAAUUGACGGGGGCCCGCACAAGCGGCGGAGCAUGCGGAUUAAUUCGAUGCAACGCGAAGAACCUUACCAAGGCUUGACAUGAACCAGACCGGGCUGGAAACAGUCCUUCCCCUUGUGGGUUGGUUUACAGGUGGUGCAUGGUUGUCGUCAGCUCGUGUCGUGAGAUGUUGGGUUAAGUCCCGCAACGAGCGCAACCCUCGUUCUAUGUUGCCAGCACGUGAUGGUGGGGACUCAUAGGAGACUGCCGGGGUCAACUCGGAGGAAGGUGGGGACGACGUCAAAUCAUCAUGCCCCUUAUGUCUUGGGCUUCACGCAUGCUACAAUGGCCGGUACAAAGGGUUGCGAUACUGUGAGGUGGAGCUAAUCCCAAAAAGCCGGUCUCAGUUCGGAUUGGGGUCUGCAACUCGACCCC
rnacentral:rRNA from 1 species